rnacentral:rRNA from 1 species
CAGCCGCCGCGGGAAUACGAAGGGUGCAAGCGUUACACGGAAUUACUGGGCGUAAAGCGUGUGUAGGUGGUGGUUUAAGUCCGUUGUGAAAGCCCUGGGCUCAACCUGGGAAUUGCAGUGGAUACUGGGUCACUAGAGUGUGGUAGAGGAUAGUGGAAUUUCCGGUGUAGCAGUGAAAUGCGUAGAGAUCGGAAGGAACAUCUGUGGCGAAGGCGACUAUCUGGGCCAACACUGACACUGAGGCACGAAAGCGUGGGGAGCAAACAGGAUUAGAUACCCCCGUAGUCCCUGUCUCUUAUAC